rnacentral:lncRNA from 12 species
GCCAAACUUGGGCACUUGAACUAUCAAGAGGUCAGAACUCCCAGCGAGUGGAGGGCUAGGCAGUAGUCAGAAGACCCGAAGUGGACAGGAAAACAUCUGAUGCCCAGAGAAAGAAACUAAAGAGAUUUGAGAUUAGCAAGCCCUGGAACACAGAUCCUGGGGAAUUCAAGCAGUUUUGGAAUCUUCUUUUUCUGGAGAUACGGCUGGUCUUUAGGUCAGCAGGGAGAGAAUGUUCAGCUGGAGCCUGCCAGCCUGAGUCAGCCCGGAGCAAGAGGACUGGCAGGAGUGGACAAAGAUGCUCUUUAUCCCCCAGGAAUGCAGUGACCUCACUAUGGCUUUCCUCUGCCGGCUUGGGGAAAAGCAUGGCUUGGCCUGGAAGGAGUGAAGCUGGUGGGUACAGUUGUCUUCUUCAGGCAUGUGCUGACCACAGGCCACAAUCACCUCAUCUGACCCGUGUUGGACACAAGAUGAUGGCUUAGGGACCCAGCAGCCGGUUCCUGCUGAGUCUCCAUGCUGGCUGGGGAAACCCAGCAUCAGGGACUCAUGCUGAUGUUGACCUCUCUCCCUGAGGUUGUGGCACUGCCAGCUGCUCCUCAUUGUAAUCCUACUUAGUGCUGGUAAUUUAAAAAGUGGCAGGGGCACCUGGGUGGCUCAAUCGGUUAAGUGCCUGCUUUCAGCUCAGGUCAUGAUCCCAGGAUCCUGGGAUCUAGCCCCAUGUUAGGCUUCCUGCUCAGUGGGGAGUCUGCUUCUCUCUUUCUCCCCCUUCCCCUACUUGUGUUCUCUCUCUUUGGCUCAUACUCUCUUAGAUAGAUAGAUAGAUAGAUAGAUAGAUAGAUAGAUAGAUAGAUAGAUAGAUAGAAUCAGAGCUUUUGACACAGAACCAAAGGCAAAAUCCAUUUGCCAUAAAUGUGCAAAGCAUAUUUGCAAGGAGUGGUCCCUUCUCAUCAGAGUAGAUACUGUUUGGGCACUACCCUGCAAGUGGAAUAAAAAUCCGGUUUAUUUCA